rnacentral:misc_RNA from 1 species
GAACUGAUUGAACUGAAUUGAUUCGGUUUGAUUUGAAUCUUUGGUUUGAACAGAAAUCUGCUCACCCCUAUAUGCCAACCCCAUCCCCCUAUAGUUGGAGUUUUUAUUUGGUGAAAUUGAUGUAUAUAUAACGAUUUUAUUAUAACUAUUGAUCAUGAUGAGUAUAAAAUAAAUGAACUGGACCUAACUCUAUCUUAAAAGCCAGCUCAAAG